rnacentral:lncRNA from 1 species
UGUGUUCCAGCACGAAUAUAAGCGGCUACUGCUGCGAGCUAAAAUGCUUAACCUUUCGUGACCGUUCACUAUGAGGAACGUAUUGAGUUUUUGCAUUACGGUUGCUUUUGCUACGUGUGUGUUUCUUCAGUUCGCAUUGCAAGAUAUGGACCAGCCAUUUGCUCUUGCGGCGCAUCAGCACGUUAAAAUUGAGGAGAGAUCUAGCAGGCAAAAGCCUAUGGCUCCUCCACCAACAACUCGACCAACAACUACACGAUGUCCGAGUGUUAAUAAAGGUCCAAGAGGAGGUUGACAUUCCAGUGCUACAUUUGUUGGAAACGGAUGGAGCUUCGCAACGUUGAUUAUUUUUCUAUUCAGCACUUCUGUCUGCUAUCCAAUAAAAAAUAAGAUGCA